AUGAACUUUAAUAUGCUUCAUACAGAGGCACGAUGAAAAGAAAAAAUACCAUCUAAACUUUUCUAAAGACAUGAUGUACAGUGUGUUCAGACCCGUGACCCAUUUUCGUGUCACGACUCGACACACUUCCGCUGGAAAACUGGGUCACUGCUUCUCCUUCAGGCUCAGGGUCCAGCAGAGAGCUCUGGAAAGUUUGUGGGAGAUGGAGCCUGAGCUCAUGGAGCUGGAAUGAUAAUCGCGGCCGUCCUUCCGGAAUGCUGUGCUUCUCUCUCUCUCUCUCUCUCUGUCUGAGUCUCUCUCUCUCUGUCUCUCUGUCUCUGUGGUUGAUGCGAGACCCCA
ensembl:lncRNA